rnacentral:rRNA from 1 species
GGGGGAUCUUCGGACCUCACGCUAUCAGAUGAGCCUAGGUCGGAUUAGCUAGUUGGCGAGGUAAAGGCUCACCAAGGCGACGAUCCGUAACUGGUCUGAGAGGAUGAUCAGUCACACUGGAACUGAGACACGGUCCAGACUCCUACGG